rnacentral:ncRNA from 1 species
CUUACCGGAGGCUUUAUGGAUCCCGAUCCCACACCUCUCUCGUGCUGGAGAGUAACCUACCGGUAAGUCAGUAUUGCGCUGCCUUGCCGAUGACGUGAGGCAGUGACAUU